rnacentral:tRNA from 1 species
GAGAUGGCUCAGCAAGUUAAGAGCACUGGAUGAUCUUCCAGAAGACCUGGGUUCAAUCCCCAGCAUUUCA